UUUUUUUUUUUUUUAAUAAUUUUUUUUAUUUUUCCACUGUACAGCAAGGGGGUCAGGUUAUCCUUACAUGUAUACAUUGCAAUUACAGUUUUUCCCCCACCCUUUGUUCUGUUGCAACAUGAGUAUCUAGACAAAGUUCUCAAUGCUAUUCAGCAGGAUCUCCUUGUAAAUCUAUUCUAAAUUGUGUCUGAUAAGCCCAAGCUCCCAAUCCCUCCCACUCCCUCCCCCUCCCAUCAGGCAGCCACAAGUCUCUUCUCCAAGUCCAUGAUUUUCUUUUCUGAGGAGAUGUUCAUUUGUGCUGGAUAUUAGAUUCCAGUUAUAAGUGAUAUCAUAUGGUAUUUGUCUUUGUCUUUCUGUCUCAUUUCACUCAGUAUGAGAUUCUCUAGUUCCAUCCAUGUUGCUGCAAAUGGCAUGAUGUCAUUCUCUUUUAUGGCUGAGUAGUAUUCCAUUGUGUAUAUAUACCACAUCUUCCGAAUCCAAUCAUCUGUUGAUGGACAUUUGGGUUGUUUCCAUGUCCUGGCUAUUGUGAAUAGUGCUGCAAUGAACAUGAGGGUGCAUGUGUCUCUUUUAAGUAGAGUUUUGUCCGGAUAGAUGCCCAAGAGUGGGAUUGCGGGGUCAUAUGGAAGUUCUAUGGAUAGAUUUCUAAGGUAUGUCCAAACUGUUCUCCAUAGUGGCUGUACCAGUUUACAUUCCCACCAACAGUGCAGGAGGGUUCCCUUUUCUCCUCAGCCCUUCCAGCAAUUGUUAUUUGUGGAUUUAUUAAUGAUGGCCAUUCUGACUGGUGUGAUAUCUCAUGGUAGUUUUGAUUUGCAUUUCUCUUAUAAUCAGCGAUGUUGAGCAUUUUUUCAUGUGUUUGUUGGCCAUCUGUAUAUCUUCUUUGGAGAAAUGUCUAUUCAGGUCUUUUGCCCAUUUUUCCCUUGAUUGAUUGGUUUUUUUGCUGUUGGGUUGUAUAGAUUGUUUAUAUAUUCUAGAGAUUAAGCCCUUGUCAGUUGCAUCAUUUGAAACUAUUUUCUCCCAUUCUGUAAGUUGUCUUUUUGUUUUCUUUUGGGUUUCCUUUGCUGUGCAAAAGCUUUUCAGUUUGAUGAGGUCCCAUGGGUUUCUUUUUGCUGUUAUUUCUAUUGCUUUGGUAGACUGACCUGAGAAAAUAUUCAUGAUGUUGAUGUCAGAGAGUGUUUUGCCUAUGUUUUAGAAGUUUGUACCUUUUAUUCUCCCUCACCUAUUUCUCUUCUCCCACUCUCUCCCCUCUGGCAACCAUUUGUUCUCUGUAUUUAUGUUUUGUAUUGUUAUGUCUGUUCAAUUGUUUUCUUUUUUAAAUUUCACUUAACAUAAUACCUUCUAGGUCAAGAUUUCACUCUUUUUUUAUGGCUAAUAUUUCAUUGUGCAUAUAUACAAAAUCUUCUUUAUCCAUUCAUCCAUUGUAGGGUCCACAGUGUCCUAAACCUAGUGUUGGCCAGCUGGUGAGGGGGCUAGAUCCCAGGGCAGCCAACUGAAGGGCCCAUAGUGUCACAGAGCUGGUUUUGUCCUGCUGGUUGUCAGGGCCAGGUCCCAGGGUUCCUCUGGCUAGUGCCAAUCUAUUGCUGGGCAGAGUUGCUAGGGCUUUUGACAGCAGGGCCCUGGGGAGUCUUAGAGGUGAUGUUAGCCUCUCUGGUGGACAGGGCUGGUGUCCAGGGGGCCCUGGGUUAAUGCCAGCUUCUUGAUGGAUGUGGUUGGUCUUGAUACUGGUAGGGUAUGAAGCUGUAGUGGUCCUGGAGGUGUCUGUCCACUGGUGGGCAAGACUAGGGUCCAGGGUAUCCUGGGGUUGGUGCCCAUUUAUUGAUGUGUGGAGCCAGUGCCCAGGGUGUCUUGGGGCUAAUGUUAGUCUGCUGGUGGGAAGAUCCGGGUCCUGGUGUCUCUGUCUGUAGGGCCCUGGGGUUCCAGAGUUGGUAUCUUCCCAAUGGUCGGUGGAUCAGGUCUCAGUGGCUAGCUGUAGGCCCUCAGGGAUCCCUUAGUAGUGCUAGUGCACUGGUGGGGUCCUGUGUCCAAGGAUGGCUGGAUGCUCAGGGAGUCUUAAGGCAGUUGAUAAUGUGGGUAGAUCUGUGUUCUCUUCUGGCUAGCUAUUUGACCUAAAGCAUCCCAGUGCUGAUGCCAACAGGCUGGUGGGCAGGGCCAGUCUUAUGCUUAAAAAGCUAGAGGGGUGAUUAAAAAUGGCAUUUUCCAGCACAGUGUCCUCAUGAUAGAAUAAGCUCUUCAUAAUGGCUGCUGCUAGCAUCUCUGUCCUCAGAGUGAGCUCCAGUUGACUCCUACCUCUCCCAGAGCCUCUCUAAGAUCAGCUGGAGGGUCUGAUCCAGGCUUCUUUGAAAUUAUUGCUUCUUCCCUGGGUCUUAGAGCAUGUGAGACUUUGGGUGUGCCUUUUAAGAGUGGAGUCUCAAUUUUCUACCAUUUGCUUCUGAAAGUAAGUCCUUCUGAUCCUCCAAGCCAAACAUUCUGGGGGCUCAUCCUUCCAGUGCAAGACCCUGGGGCUGGGAAGUUCAAUACGGGGCUUGGAUACCUCACUCCUUGGGAAGAAUCUUUGCAGUAAUAAUUAUCCCCCUAUUUGUGGUUGAUCCCCUUCCUCCGACGGGUAUCAGUCUUGACUAUACAGCAUCUCUGCCCCUCCUACCCAUCCCAUUGUGGCUUCUUUAUAUCUUUUGUUGUAGGUCUUUUCUGCUAGUCUUCAAGUCUUUGUCAUCAGUAGUUCUGUAAAUAGUGGUAGUUUUGGUGUGCCUGUGAAAGGAAGUGAGCUCAGGGUUUGCCUUCACUAUUUUGGCUACUCCUUCCACUGACAUUUUUCUUUCUAAAUUAUAUGCAGAGAGAUGUCCAAAAGAUGUUCAUUAAAUGUUAAACUUGUUUUUUGAUGAUUUUUAAGUAAUUUAUUGCUUUUUAAAAUGUGUUCUUUUCUAUACUACUUAGUUUUAAGAAGUUAGCCUUAUUGUUAUUUUUUUAAGAAGAGUGAUUAUUCUUUAAAAAAGUGCCUUCUUCUAAGGAAAAGUAUGAACUAGAAAAAGAUCAAGCUCAGAAAUAAAAGGGGUAGGAGGUUGGGAAACAUCUAUCCUUUUUGGUGCUUGUCAUCAUUUUGAUCAUUUUGAUGGUAUCAAUCCCAGAAAUGUAAAAUGUAAAACAUUGUAGACUUAUGGAACUAUCAAACAAUCAUAACAUUGAAGUAUUUUCCAAAGCUGAACAUAAAUUUUUCUGUUUUUCAUGGUAAUAUAUAGUGUUUUCUGAGUGUAUGUGUUGAAUGAAUUUGUCCCUUAAUAUGUCUUUAUUUAGCUCUUAGAAUUAUCUGGUUUUAUUAAUUUAUUUCAACAUUAUUACUGAGUGCUGCAUCAGUUUAUAUCUUCAUAUGGGUAGACACUGAAAUUGUGAUUUGAGUAAAGGGUCCCUGUUUGUGCUGUGAUACAAGGAGGGCGGGGGGAUAGAGGAUCAAAAAACAAAGAGAGCAAAUGGGAAAUAUAUAAUUAAAUGGGAGAUCUAAGUACCCAUAUCAGUAAUUACAUUAGAUGUUAAUGGACUGAACUUCAAUGAAAAGGCAGAGAGUAUCAGAAUGGAUAAAAUAUUCAAUUUGACAUCAGCAGGAGAUUUUCUUAAAGACAUAGGCUGCUAGAGUUCCUGUCAUGGCUCAGCAGAAAUGCAUCCAACUAGUAUCCAUGAUGCAGGUUCAAGCCCUGGCCUCGCUCAGUGGGUCAGGGAUCUGGCAUUGCCAUGAGCUGUGGUGCAGGUCACAGAUGCGGCUCGGAUUCUGCGUGGCUGUGGCUGUGGCAUAGGCUGGAGGCUGUAGCUUCUAUAUGGCCCCUAGCCUGAGAAUUUCCAUAUGCUGCAGGUAUGGCCCCUUUUAAAAAGCAAAAAAACAAAACAAAAACAAACAAACAAACAAAAACCCCAAUAAACCAAAGGCACAGGCUGAAGGGAUGCUGUUAAAAUCAGAUAAAAUAGAAUGCAAAACAGACUGUUGUAGGCAAUAAAGAGGGGACAUUUCAUAAUGCUGAGUGAAUUCAUCAGGAAGCCAUAGCAAUCAUAAAUGUAUAUAACCAAUAACAGGUUAAAAAUAUAUAAAGCAAAAAAAUAAUAAAAUUAGGGAAGAGUUAUAAUUAGAAAUUUUUAUCACACUACUCUCAGCAAUUGCUAGACUAUCUAGAUGAAAAAAUCAGUAGAGACAUAGAUGAUCUGAUGAAUAUAAUUAGUUAUAUGGAUAUAAGUGAUAAUUAUGGAAACUGCACCCUUAAGUUUUAAAAGACACAUUAUCAACUGUACAUCGUAUGUUCACUAACAUAGGCGAUAUUGUAGGCCAUGAAAUAUGUCUUGAUACAUUUAAUGGUUGAAAUUAAUGUAUGUUUUUUUGGCCACAAGAAAAUUAAAAUAGAAAUUAAUCAAAAUCAGUUACCUAGAGAUACUCCAAAUAUUUGGAAACUAGACAACACGAUUUAAAUAAUCCUGGAGUCACAGGGAAAAAUCUCAGGGGAAUCAUAAAAUAUUUUGAAGUGAAUUGUGUUGAUAAUACACAUCAAAAUUCAUGUGACACAGCUAAAGUAGUACUUAGAGUUAAAAUUAUAAUUCUUUUAUUAUUUAUGCUCUUAUUAAAUAGUUUCAUCAUUAAGAAAGAAAAUUCUAAAUAUUAAUAACCUGAACUCCACCUUAGGAAGCUUGAAAAAGAACAAAAUAAAUUCACAAUAAGUAAAUGUAAGGAAAUAAUAAAGAGUAGAAAUGAGUGAUGUAGAAAAUAGGCAGAUAAUAGAGAAACUUAAAGCCACAGUAUUGUUCUUUGGGAAGAUCUAGAACAAUGAUAAACUCCUAGCUUUAGUGAUCAACACAAUGACAAUGUGUUAUAAUAGUAGAAGAUUUUUGGCAUAUCUGUGGCAUACAGAAGUUCCUGGGCCAGGAAUUGAAGCUGCCACUGCAAUGACAGUGCCUCAUACUUAACCCAUUGAGCCAAAUGGGAACUCCAGAGAAGGGCUCGUUAUGAAUGGAGUUUUCAGAGGUAAUUCCAAAGAGAUGGUCGCAGUUGUAUGUGGCUUUCAAGAAUUACAGCAUCCUUGGAUGUCUGUGGGAGAUUGGUUCCAGGACCCACUGCACAUACCAAAAUCCAUAGAUACUCAAGUCCCAUAGUUGUUCCUCCAUAUCUGCAGUUCUGUAUCCAUGGAUUCGGCAACCACGGAUCAUGUAGAACUACAUGUAUUUAUUGAAAAAAAUCCAUAUGUUAGUGGACCCACCCAGUUCAAACCUGUGUUGGUCAAGGGUCACCUAUAGUAUUUUUUUCUCAUAUACGUUGGGGAAAAAGGUAUUCUAAGUAGAGGAAAAGUAAGAGCAAAGGUGUGGGUUUUUUUUUUUUUUGACAAGUUCAUAGCAUAUUAAGAAUGACAUAUUUUUUGUAUCUAUAACAUAAGGAUUGUGUGAAGGUGAAGAGCAAUAGGUGAUGAGAAAGAAAAGUAGUUUGAGACUAGAAUGUAUACAACCUAGAAUAUCUUUCUUGGUAAUUUGUACUUUAUUCUCUUGAAAAUAGCAGGCCAUCUAAAGUUUUUAAAAGCAAUAUUUCAAACAGAAGAUAUUGGGAAUGAAAAAUUGAGUGUUUAUUACCACUACCCCACUCUAACAAAUAAACCUUUACCAUAUGUAUUCAGAUUUUUAAAAAACUUUAAACAGUAUAGUCAAAGCCCUCUUUAUACCUCUUCAUCACAUGCCACAAGUAAGUCCUAUUCUGAAGUUAUAUAUCCUUACCGUGAAUUUUUUUUAUACUUUUACUGCUUAGUUAUAUAUUAAUGAUUGUUUUUCUAUGCUAUUAAACUUUGUAAAAAUUCUAUUUUAUUUAUUCCACAAAUUGUUUUUUUUCACUCGUUACUUUUGAGAUAAAGGAUAUUUAGCAACUAUGGAAUGGUGUAGCCAUAGGAGUUAUUUACAAUAUCUUUUCUGGUUGGUGCCAUAGUAAUUGUUAAAUAUUUUUUUUUUUUGUCUUUUUUGUCUUUUGUUGUUGUUGUUGUUGCUAUUUCUUGGGUUUUGUCUUUUGUUGUUGUUGUUGUUGUUGCUAUUUCUUGGGCCACUCCCGCGGCAUAUGGAGGUUCCCAGGCUAGGGGUUGAAUCGGAGCUGUAGCCACCGGCCUACGCCAGAGCCACAGCAACGUGGGAUCCGAGCCGCGUCUGCAACCUACACCACAGCUCACGGCAACGCCGGAUCAUUAACCCACUGAGCAAGGGCAGGGACUGAACCCGCAACCUCAUGGUUCCUAGUCGGAUUUGUUAACCACUGCGCCACGACGGGAACUCCGAAUUGUUAAAUAUUUUUAAUAGCUUGCCCUUGGAUUAAUCUGUACUGAUAAAUACAUUAAUCUACCCAAUUCAUUUCAAAUAUUGUAUUGUACUUGGUAAAAACAAAAUGGAUCUGUUAUCCUAUUGAUGGACAUUUAGGUCAUUUCCAGUUAUUUACUGUUAAAUGCAAUGCUGCAGUAAAAUCCUCAGAGGAAUUCUUGUGCAUACAUGAGAAUUUCCUUAGUGUUUUUAUUAAAGUGAAAUUAUGUUGUAUGUAAAGUGAAAUAUGUGUUACUCUCCAGAGUAAUUGUCCCAAUUUACAGUCUCACCAAAGAGUAUGAGAAUAUUGGUUUCUCAAUAACAUUUUCUUUCCUCUCUAUAUCUCUUUCUCCCCAGGUUAGCUUUUCAGCAUUUUGUUAUCAUUUGUUUAAAAAAUUUGCCCAUAUGAUAGAUAUGAAAUUAUAUCUUGUGAUUUAAUUUACCUUUCACUAAUUAUUAGUACUGUUGAAGAUCUUUUCAUAGGCUUAUAAAUGAUUCUGGUUUCCUUUCCUGAAGUUUCUGUACACAUUAUUUACUCUUAUCUACUGGGUUAUUUUGUCUUUUAAUUUUUUUAAUUGAUUUAUGAUAGUAUUUUUGAAAAUAAUCUGUAUUCCAGUUUAUGAUAGUUUUAAAAAAAAAUGUUUUGGAUAUCAUUCUUUAAAAAUUUUUUUCUCUUGAAAAUAAUUUUAAACUUAAAAACUAACCGGAGUUCCCGUCAUGGCUCAGUGGUUAACGAAUCCAACUAGGAACCAUGAGGUUGCGGGUUCAAUCCCUGGCCUUGCUCAGUGGGUUAAGGAUCUGGUGUUGCCAUGAGCUGUGGUGUAGGUCACAGACGUGGCUCGGAUCUGGUGUUGCUGUGGCUCUGGUGUAGGCUGGUGGCUAUGGCUCUGAUUAGACCCCCAGCCUGGGAACCUCCAUAUGCUGCGGGUGCGGCCCUAGAAAAGACAAAAUAAAUAAAUAAAUAAACUAAAAAACUUACCAAAAAGUAAUAUAAGGAACACAUGUAUUCUCUUAUCAAGAUUUGUCAGUUGUGGAGUUCCCAUUGUGGCUCAGCGGAAACAAAUCUGACUAGUAUCCAUGAGGAUGCAGGUUCGAUCCCUGGCCUCGCUCAGUGGGUUAAGAAUCUGCCAUUGUCAUGAGGUGUGGUGUAGGUCACAGAUGCAGCUCUAAUCUGAUGUUGCUGUGGAUGUGGCGUGGGCCAGCAGCUAUAGCUCUGAUUAGACCGCUAGUCUGGGAACUUUCAUAUACCGAAGGUGUGGCCCUAAAAAGACCAAAAAACAAACAAAAAAGCCUUGUUUCUUAGGUGCUUGUGAUAUGUCCCCAACAUUUAUUUGAACAUUUCCUUACUUUUGUUAUCAUUAAGACUCAUCUUAUACUUAUCCCACCUCACCUCAAAAUUAUCCUAUUUUGGAGUUCCCAUCAUGGCUCAGUGGAAACUAAUCUGAGUAGCAUCCUUGAGGAUGCCAGUUCGAUCCCUGGCCUCACUCAGUCGGUUAAGGAUCUGGCAUUGCUGUGAGUUGUGGUGUAGGUCACCGACGCGGCUCAUAUUUGACAUUGUGGUUGUGGCUUAGCUUAGGCCAGAAGCUAUAGCUCUAAUUAGACCCCUAGCCUGGGAACCUCCAUAUGCCGCCAGUUUGGCCCUAAAAAGACAAAAAAAAAAAA
rnacentral:lncRNA from 1 species